rnacentral:tRNA from 1 species
GGCGAGGUCGCAUAGUGGACUAGUGCAGCCGCCUUGAAAGCGGCCGAGGGGUAACUCUCCGUGGGUUCGAAUCCCACCCUCGCCG